rnacentral:rRNA from 1 species
GGAAGUAAAAGUCGUAACAAGGUUUCCGUAGGUGAACCUGCGGAAGGAUCAUUAUCGAGCGAGGCCUGUCCCCUCCCUCCAUCCCGUGCGUACCUUCCAGCUGCCUCGGCCGCCCCCCGCUCCGGCGGGACGCCCGCCGAGGCCCCUCUCAAACCUUGUCCAACGUUGAGUCUGAGUGAUUAUACAAACCAAAACAAAACUUUCAACAAUGGAUCUCUUGGCUCCGGCAUCGAUGAAGAACGCAGCGAAAUGCGAUAAGUAAUGUGAAUUGCAGAAUUCAGUGAAUCAUCGAAUCUUUGAACGCACAUUGCGCUCCCUGGCAUUCCGGGGAGCACGCCUGUCCGAGCGCCGUUACCCCCUCAAGCCUCGCUUUGUUGGACCCCGCCCCGCCGUUGCGCGUCCGAAAGUCAUCGGCGCCCGUCGCCGGCCCCAGCGUUGUGGAAUCCGCUGUGGCCCGGCCGACGUGGUUGCCUCGACCCAUCAGUACCUAUUGGCCUCGGAUCAGGCGGGGAUACCCGCUGAACUUAAGCAUAUCAAUAAGCGGAGGA